rnacentral:misc_RNA from 1 species
CAACAAGCUGCGGUUGCUAUG